AUGGGGACCGACCCCAUGGAGACUGGAGACAGGGGCCAUGUCCAAUUUGGCCCCCAACCAAAUGUCAUUUUGGAGACCCACACGGCUCCGGAGUCAGAUGAGCAGCCUCCUUCAAAAGAAGGGGGCGCGCCCACUCCACCGGCGACCUCUGUCAAUCUGCAGGCGCCGGACACUUUGGUGGGAGCGCUUCAGAGCGUCGUCAUUGUGGAAGAACAUCGUACCCAUACGGUGGUUGAAAAGGUUCGGUCCGCUAAAAGUGGAUUGAAUGAGGCCUACACUAGCCUUCUGAGAGUCUUUGAGGUUGCGAUGCAGGCGUCAGCUAACCAUGCCGCCGAGGCGUUCGAGCUGAGGCAGAAGUUAGAGGCAAAGCAAGCUGACGCAUCUGAGGUCGAGACCCUCAAGAGCGUGCUGGCCGAAGCCAAGAAGGAGGCGAAGGAGGAACGAGCCGCCCGCCUGAAACAUGAAUCAAGGGUGGAGGAAGUCCAGCAAGAGCUCAAGGAUGCUAUAAGCAAAUGUGAGCCCUUAGAGCACAAGAUUUCAGAUCAAAAUUCCGAACUUGCUAAGGCCCUCCAAAGUACACAGGAGGCCCGAGUUGAAGCCCAAGGCGCCCUCCGCGAGAUCCAAGAGGCAAAGCAGAUCGCGUCUGGAGCGUUUGCGGAUCUGCCCUGGAGUGUUGCUGAUGCUGCGGAGUUCUUCCGAGCCGAAGAAGGAGCUCCACUGAGAAGCUGUGCUGGUCGUAGUACCUUGCGCCAGAGCAUCCAGUGCCCCUCAGCGAUCAGUUGA
rnacentral:rRNA from 1 species